CUAUUUCACUUCAGUUUCCAACUUAACCCAUGGCUUAUGCGAGCUGGUCAUGUCAUGGUCAGAGCCUAUUAGAAUCUGGAUCGUCAGGUGGUCAGCAGGAAAUAGAGUUCAAAUAAUUUCCAUAGAAAGGCUUCGGUGAAGGCACUGUUCAAGAGGUGUGGGCACAACCAAAGGAUAAAGGGAUGUUUACGCUCCCAGGGUCCAGCAAGGUAGGAAGUGUUCUCUCUCUUGGGGAGGGAUCCCAUGAGAGCUGGCGUCUCAGAAAGCAGCCUGGCAGGAGCUAUCAUUCCAGAGCAGUGUUCUUCCCUAUUUGUCUUUAGUUAUUAUCCCCGUUCUCAAGAAAUACUAAAUCUAAUCUAAAUUCAACCUAAUGAGCUAAAUUAACAACUAAGGAAUAAGAUUUUAUCAGCAAGCAGAGGACCCUGCCAGACAGUCCAAGGGCUCAGCCCCAGAGCGCAGAACAAGGCAGAGAACGGCAGAGCUGGAAGAUCUGGAGAACAAAAAACGUAAGCAGCAGAGAAUUUGUCCAAAUCUGUUAAAACUCACACGGGGCAAAAUCUCCUUGGGGGAAUCCUUGCAUGUCUUGGGGAAGAGUAUGAAUUUUGUGUCAGGAAGACCCUGAUUUAAAUCGCAGCUUUGUCCCCUUCUCACGGCAUGAGCUUAAGGACCCUCUUUAAACUCUCUGAGCCUCAGAGAGUAAAACGGGGCUAUUAAUUUCUAUUGCUGGUAGUUGCUUUGAGGAUAAACUAAAUAACAUAUGCAGGGCACUUAAUAAUGUAACAAGCUGGAUAAAUAAUCACUAAAUGUGACUGUGAGAGCGUUUAUCAUCUGCCCUUCUUUCCUUUCACUCCUAAGUCCCAGGCACUUACCCAAGGGUGCAUAGUGUCCAGUGCUGGGCUUACAGAGUAAACAAGACAGACUGCCCCACCAGUGGAAAGUCAGAGGGAACACUCUUCCACGUGUCACUCAAAAUGCGCAAACACAAUCAGGCUGUUUGAAGGAAACUGCUAUACAACAGAAUGGACCUGGAUACAACAGAUGACAACUGGAAGCAUAUCUGGUAGCAGACUUCUGUGUGACAUCUUCUGAAUAAGUUAGUCCCAUGUCGAAGAAGUCAUCCAUUAAAUCCUCUAGCCAACUGCUUUGCUCAUACUUUCAUUCCAGAGGGAGAUCAUUAAGUGAUACCAUAAUCCUGCAAGGCUGGUGAGUCAGAAAACGUCAUUCUAGUUAGUUUUCUAAGCCUUGUACCCUCGCCUGUACAAGACAGAGGAUGAGAGUAUUUACCUCAGAGGGUUGUUGCUGCUUGAAUGAAAAAAUGCGUGUAAAACACUUAGUACCAAGUCUAGCUCAGAGAAAGUGCUUCAUAAAAUCUAACUAUUUAGACGUAUUUCUCUUUAGGUACUGAAAUCUUUGUCACCUUGUGCACCUACUUAAGCUUGCCUUAGUUUUUCAUGUUUAACAUAGCAAUGAUUUUAAAUAUCUAUCCCAUCUUGAUAAAAUUUUCAUAGCUAAUGAGAUUAUAUACAAAAUUAUCUA
rnacentral:lncRNA from 1 species